CUACCAGAGCGAGUGUGCUGUUUUCUGUGCCAUAAUGGUAACGUUAGAAUGGCCAACGCUGCCGAAAAUGUUGUGGACUUUUUGUUGACCCCUUCCAUUCUCUGAGGUACACGGAAAAGCUGCGAAUUAAAAGCGAGAGUCGACCUUUGCCUGAGAUCAGUUUCACGAAGAAGGGUGAAAAGGUGAGGGUGUUCAAUGGAAUCUGGUAUCAACAGUAUAGCUGGUAAACAGGGAGCCUUUCAUCAAGCCGCCUCUAUUGCUGGCCUUGCAAGAUUUUGAGAUGGAAAGUUCCACCGACAGGGGAACUACAAGGAGCUUGCAGAGCUAAGUCCCCUCCUGUUCCCUGAUGAAGAGGAGAUGAGUACUCCACUCCUCUACCUUUGUCAACAUUCUCCUGACAUGAACUGAAGCCACGUCUCGUGCCCACUCAUCCACUGGCACAUUGAAUGUUUCCUCACCAAGGAGUACCCCUAUACAUUUUCUCUAAUUCCUGUCAACUCAUUAGAGUCAAUCACGUACACAAUCACAUUAUUAGACAUCUAUGAUUUUACUCCUUGGUUGGACUAAACUCAUUUUUAGCCCUUUUGUCUAUCUAUGUAGUGUGUUGUGUUAUUGUUUUUUGUCUUCCCAGUCAAAUCCUGUCCUGCACUGGUCAAGCCUCUGAACACCUCAACUCAUGCCUCAUACCCUCAUUCAAUCACUUAUGUGAUCCCGCUCAGCCCUCUCAUUCCCCAUAAUAUUGUACUAUAAAUGUCUUUAUGAAAUGCUUUAGGUUAAAGUAAUUAGUCUUUGCCGAUUUUUGAAACACAUUUUGUCGUCUCCGUGCGUUUACGCGCCUAUACCGUGGGUCUCCCAUCCUCCUAAAAUUAUGGUCACCAGCCUCCAUAGACCCUAAAGUCAACGCAGGAAGUGCAAACGCUAUUGGAUGCGUGAGCACACGCUCUCCACAUGGGUGCGCCAGCAAAGCCCACUGUCAAUGUGGACCCCCAGAUCCAGAACCAACCCCUAUACCAGAACACCGGAAGAGGCGAGGAGGAGGGAUUAAAGAUCUAACCUUCAUCUGGAGUGAGCAGACCACUGGGAAGUACCACCAUUGAGUCUAGGGCUCGCUUGUGUGUCUGCUUGCUUCUCAGGUUGUCCUCCUCCCCUCUACAGACCCAGAUCCUGACCGAGUUCCCGGUUCCUGCCCACCCCCCCAGUUUUCAACCUCAGCACGACUUCCAGUCCCGGCCCCAACACCAGCACCAACCCAGUUUUCUCCCGGUCCCAGCAACAAAACACGCAAAAACUCUGGACACAGCACCGACUAACCUCAACUGCCACCUCCAUACAGCAACUGCCAGCCCAGAUCCCACCCCUCCCCCAACACAAAGAAGCAGACACAUUGUGGACUGACUGAUCAACGGACUGAUUCUCUAUUUUUUAAAUUAAUGAUUAUUGAAUUUUAACUUGUGACAUUUUACCUGUAAAGAAAUUUAUUAAAAAUGUAAUACAAAAAUUACCCAGUCCUACCUACCUACAGAUUGUGGAAAUCUGCUCUUUUAGCAAGUCAAAUAUGAUAAAACAAAAACACUAUAGUAAAUACUACAGCAUUCUCCGCAAAAACACAACAGUAAAUACUUCAGUAUACUACAAAAAUACUUCAUUAAUUACUAUAGUAUUAUACUACCAUUUUCUUUUAAAUGAGUAUUUAUGCUAUAGUUUACUGUAAAUACUACAGUAUAUAGUAUUUAUACCAUAGUAUACUAUAGUAUUUUUUCAUGUGGGAGUUGCUAGGACCAUGCUGGAAAGAAUAAUGUGAAAGGAAUAAAACUAAUAACUGAGCCAGCACAGUACAGCUCAGGUUGGCAGGAUAGUGGGAAAAGACUAUUAAUAAAGCCUGACCUUGGCUACUCUGAUGGAGUUGACCCAGAGGGAGAGAGUGUGCUCAUCAUCACAACACAGGAAUCUGAUGUAUUGGGACUCCUUCUGGAUCUGAGGAUGCUGAAAGGAAAAGAACAGAACAAAUGGUAUUGAUGGUAAUCUCUGCUCUUAGAGCAACAUCUUCUGUGCAUGCAUUGUCUGUCACAAAAUACUGUAUUGAUGCUUGAUUCACUUCUCCGUCUUUGUUCAAGUGGUCCAGUAUUUUUGUUGUUGUAGUUCAUCAAAGAGACAAUAGGGGGCAGCCAAUGCUCACUUGAGUCAAGCCAUUAGAGGAGCACUAUUUGUAUUGCACUACCAUGUUUGAUUAGUCGUACGUACAGGAUACACACACUGUCCAACGAAAUGUUUACAUCCAUGUGGGUUGCACUACCAUGUUCUCAAACCCUCUCACAUUAAGAACCUUUCUCAUUCAUGUUAAG